rnacentral:lncRNA from 1 species
CUGUAAUUGGCAGAAUAAUAACCAACGGCUAAGUGUGGAAAGUGUCUGCCUUUCAGCAACGUUUACACUACUGAAUUUACCAGGGUGAUCCCAACAUCACGAAUCCUUUAACAACUUAACAUGAAGCAGCACGUAGCAGUUACCUGCAUGGGUUCUGGAAUUAGACUGCUUAGAUUCAAAUCUCGGUUCUGCCAGUUAUCAUCUAUCUAACCUUAAGUAAAUUACGUAAUUGCUCUGUGACUCCUUUCCGAAAUGACAAAUCACAAAUGUUUUUGUCAAUUCACGUGUCUUCUGCUUUAGUAAACAUAGUAGAAGACAGUAGUCAAUCUCUUUUUUUGUUUUUUUUUGAGACAAAGUCUUUCUCUGUCACCGACGCUGGAGUGCAGUGGCGGGAUCUCGGAUCACUGCAGCCUCCGCCUCCUGUGUUCGAGGGAUUCUCCUGCCUUAGCCUCCCAAGUAGCUCAGACUACAGCCGCCUGCCACCAAGCCCGGCGCUCUCUUGCUGGCGCAUGACAACCGUGCGUUCCACCCUACGACUAAUUUUUUUUUUUUUUUUUUAGACGGAGUCUAGCUCUGGCUGGAGUCAGUGGCGCGAUCUCGGCUCACUGCAACCUCUGCCUCCUGGGUUCAAGCGAUUCUCCUGCCUCAGCCUUACAAGCAGCUGGGACUACAGGCGUGUGCCACCACGCCCGGCUAAUUUUUGUAUUUUUAGUAGAGACGGGGUUUCGUCAUUUUGGCCAGGCUGGUCUCGAACUCCUGACUUCAGGUGAUCCACCGGUCUCGGCCUCCCAAAGUGCUGGGAUUACAGGCGUGAGCCACCGCGCCCGGCCUCCUUUUCCUUUUUUAACUAAUGGAAUAAACGGCAAUGUGCCAAGCAUACAGCAAUGCCCAUUCCCCGGCCUUCAGAAAGCC